AACGUAGGACGCAAGCGUUAUCCGGAGUUACUGGGCGUAAAGGGCGUGUAGGCGGCGCUGCAAGUUCGUCGUGAAAGACCCCGGCUCAACCGGGGGAGGUCGAGGGAGACUGCGGCGCUGGAGGACGGUAGAGGGACAGGGAAUUCCGGGUGUAGUGGUGAAAUGCGUAGAGAUCCGGAGGAACACCAGUGGCGAAGGCGCUGUCCUGGGCCGCACCUGACGCUGAGACGCGACAGCAUGGGGAGCGAACGGG
rnacentral:rRNA from 1 species